UGGGGAAUCUUGCGCAAUGGACGAAAGUCUGACGCAGCGACGCCGCGUGGGUGACGAAGGCCUUCGGGUUGUAAAGCCCUGUGGGGAGAGACGAACCGGCAUCUGGCUAACAUCCAGGUGCUCUGACGGUAUCUCCUUAGCAAGCAUCGGCUAACUCUGUGCCAGCAGCCGCGGUAAGACAGAGGAUGCAAACGUUGCUCGGAAUUACUGGGCGUAAAGCGCGCGCAGGCGGUCCUGUAAGUCGGGUGUGAAAGCCCCGGGCUCAACCCGGGAAGUGCACUCGAUACUGCAAGACUGGAGUACUGGAGAGGAGAGCGGAAUUCUCGGUGUAGAGGUGAAAUUCGUAGAUAUCGGGAGGAACACCAGCGGCGAAGGCGGCUCUCUGGACAGAUACUGACGCUGAGGCGCGAAAGCGUGGGAAGCAAACA
rnacentral:rRNA from 1 species